GGUCAACUACAAGGUGCUAAGUAGAUGUUUUGACCACUAAUUCCUGACAACAAAAGAGUUUUUCUUCAAGUGAUCUCUGCAGCAAUCCCAAGAGGAAGUCUCAUACUACUAUUUGACAGCAACAGGAAUGGAUGAUGAGCACCUUGUAGCACUCUCCAAGCACUGUCGGGUGUGUGGGUCUUAUUUCAGGAACAAGAAAGGUCCUCAAGGCCAUAAGUAUUCCUGUUCAGACAGAAAGGUUGAUCUUCUGGAGGUUUUUGGGAUAGAAGUGAUUUUGGGAUAGAAGUGAACGAAGAUGUGGACGCAAUUCAUCCCCAAUCAUAUUGUCACCCAUGCAAUAACAUUAUUUAUCAUACUAUUAAGCACACUAGAGACGGAAAAGAUUAUAAUCCACAAAAAACGAUUGCGACCUGGUCUGCACACAGUGUUAAUUGCUCAGUUUGUUUAAGCGUUAGCACUCACAGUGUUGGUGGGAGGCCAAAGAAACAAUCCUACACACCUGGCAGACCAGCAAAAGGCUCAUUCCAGUCAGCGAUCAAGCACAUUAAAUCGAUAGCUCCUCCCACCAUCUGUCAGCAAGAAUCGGUUGUUGCCUCACAAAGUUUUUUCGAUUGUCCUGUAUGCUUGUACAUACUAGACAGACCGAUUGAGUUACAGCUGUGUGGUAGGCUUGCCUGUGCUGGUUGCUUGUGCAGGUGGUUACAAGUGUCUCAAUCCCCAUCGUGUCCUUUCUGUCACCUCAAAACAGACCACCUCAGCGAUCUUGAAAACAUCAACCCUCCUUCUGAGAUCACCCUGAGGGCAUUGGAAUGUAUUGAGGUAACAUGCAGUAAGUGUUCAAAGCAGGGAUUCCUUAGACACCACAAAGAGCACAUUGACAGCAUGUGUGGGACCUCGUAUUUCAAAUCUGCUCCACUCAACCUAUCUGAUCUCCUAAACACGCCUGAAUGCGUGUCACUGUCCCCAAUGGAGGAGAAAUGGCAAUCUAGCCUAAUCAAGCGCAGUAUGCACAGCUCCCAGUCUCUACAAGUGAAGACGGGAGGACAGUCUCGAACCCUGGUACAAGUUAGCUCACCCCGAGUAUCUAGUGCGAGUGCCAGCCAAACCACCUUGAGACGUCGCAGCGGUGAGCUGCUGGAGGUUCGAAGACUGGUGAGCGGUGGAGAAGAGGUGCUACAGAUGAGCCACGAGGUGAAAGCAACAAGGAAUGAAGACCGGGAGAAAAUGAAGACCGGGAGAAGUUGGUGGAGGAUCUCAAGAAGACAACAGGGUGCUUCCAGAUCAAGUUUUCAGUUGCAGAGAGCCUGGGGAUACAAUCGGUCGGUCUUGACAAUACCGUAUCACAAGCUGCGGAUCAUGAAGGCCAUGUUGGGACCAAAUGUAAAGAUAGCUUCAGAGAAGAAGAUGCGGGCUGAAGCUGAUUCUCUCGCGUGUGUUGAAAAUCUUAAGGCUGAGCUAGUCCCCUUCACAUUCCCACUCAGAGAUGGCGGACACACAGUGGAAGUAA